UACAGGGGGGGCAAGCGUUGUUCGGAAUUACUGGGCGUAAAGGGCUCGUAGGCGGCCAACUAAGUCGGACGUGAAAUCCCUCAGCUUAACUGGGGAACUGCGUCCGAUACUGGAUGGCUUGGAUUUGGGAGAGGGAUGCGGAAUUCCAGGUGUAGCGGUGAAAUGCGUAGAUAUCUGGAGGAACACCGGUGGCGAAGGCGGGUCUCUGGGCCGAUACUGACGCUGAGGAGCGAAAGCGUGGGGAGCGAACAGG
rnacentral:rRNA from 1 species